AGGAACAAAAAUGCUACCUAUAAUUGGACACUUUUUUCUCUGUGACGGCACCUGUAUUUGGAAACAUAUACUGAUCUACGUAAACUACUCUUACAUCAUAGCAUAAUAUUCGGUUUGAACUUAGCAAGUAUCUAUUAUCUGGUAAUAUAUAGCUCACUUCAAAAUUUGCAGUUUGGUGCUGCAUCAUCUGUUGGCGUUGAUAUUGAUCCCCUGGCAAUAAAAUCUGCUAGUCAUAAUGCAGCUCUGAACAACAUUCCUUUGGAGAAACUGGAGCUGCACCUUGCACCAAGUGAGAAUAGCUCUUCUGGAAGAGAAACACCAUUGCAAAAAGAACAGUUUGACGUGGUCAUUGCAAGCAUACUCUUAAACCCGGUUAUGGAACUAGCAGAUCAUAUAGUUUCAUUUGCAAAACCUGGGGCAACCAUUGGCAUUUCUGGAAUCCUAUCUGAACAGCUUCCAAAUGUAAUAGAACGAUACUCUCCCUUCUUGGAGAACAUUUCUGUGGCCACAAUAGGUGAUUGGGAAUGCAUGAGCGGUACCAAAAAAAGGGAGUUUAUUGAUAACUGUUAACUUUUUCAGUGUUACAUCAGAAAAGAGGCAAUAACAUAAAGCACUAGCGAAGCAAAGGCAAGAAGAACAAAAGGUGCCUAAUGAUCAUACAUAAAGAACAGAUCUGCCUUAGUAGUUGAGUAAGAGGCUACAAGCCUACAACUACACAUGAAAUGAAACUUAAUGUACUCUUCAUUGAUGUAUUCAAAAAUUCAAAUCUAUUAUGAUUUAAAGUUUGUGUUGUCACCAACUCUGGUUGUAAUUAUUGUUCAAACAACCAUUGUAUUUAAGUUCUACAGAAACAAAAAAUUAUGUCGACAUCAACUAUCUUCAUUAUGUUGCUUCA